rnacentral:rRNA from 1 species
GACAGAGGUGGCAAGCGUUGUUCGGAUUCAUUGGGUGUAAAGGGCAGGUAGGUUGCCUUGCAAGUCUGACGUGAAAUCCCAGGGCUCAACCCUGGAACUGCGUUGGAUACUGCUUGGCUUGAGUAUCGGAGAGGUGAAGGGAAUUCCCGGUGUAAGGGUGAAAUCUGUAGAUAUCGGGAGGAACACCAGUGGCGAAGGCGCUUCACUGGCCGAUUACUGACACUGAGCUGCGAAAGCAAGGGGAGCAAACAGG